CUGAAAUCAAAGCAGGGCAAGAGUAUGGCUGCUGCAAUCAGCAGGAGAUGGCCCCAUUCUGCCCAUUCUACCUGGGUGUAACAAACACAUUUAGCAUCACAGCAGCUAAGUUCCACCUGGAGGUACCUGUUGCCUUCAGUAGCAGAGCAGGCGCUAUCUACCUGCCUGUGCCUGAUAUACAUAGAAGGCAGAACCUACUUGCAAGCACCUGAGUGAACCUGCUACAGUCAGUCCUAGGAAAAGGCCUAAAAUCUUCUUGUGCAAAAGCACUUUGCUCUCUGAAAGAUCCCCUGGCAAUGGAUAUUGUUUCCUAUCACCAGCAUAUUUUGAAAUCCACCAACGUGUUUAAUGAAUGACUGUCUCCUUUUUCCAAGGGGCCUGCGGGUCAGGUUGGACUUCCUGGGGAAAUCGGAGCCUUGGGCCCCAAGGGCAAACCUGGACCUGAUGGACCACGAGGCCCCCCAGGUCCCCCUGGGAAACCUGGCCCCCCAGGACUCAUCCAAGUGGGGGAAGGCAGUGCUGAUUUCUCGUGUCCAACCAACUGCCCGCCAGGGCCCAAAGGUCCCCAGGGACUUCAGGGACUGAAGGGACACAGAGGCCGCCCCGGUGCCCUCGGGGAAUCUGGCAGACAGGGCAGGCCGGGCCCCCCGGGCGACAUGGGCAUUUCCGGAGAACAAGGCAUCCCCGGCCCUCCAGGUCCUCAGGGCCUGAGAGGUUACCCUGGCAUGGCGGGACCAAAAGGCCAGACGGGUCCCCAGGGCUAUAAGGGAAUGGUUGGGACUAUUGGAGCUGCUGGCACGCCGGGCGAGGAAGGCCCUAAGGGGCCACCUGGUAGAGCUGGUGAGAAGGGAGACGUUGUAAGUAAACUUUCAUUCACGCGUGGAAAGGUACCGUCCCAGAGGGAAGCAGUUUAAUGCUUGCGUUGUGUUACCCUAACAUGCGCUGAGCCUCCCUUAACUGCUACCCCUGUGCAGGUGUGUGCUCUGUGCCCAGGUGUCUGC
rnacentral:lncRNA from 1 species